CGUCGUAUGAUGUGACACACGGUUGCUUUGAAGACCAGCCGCUCGAGAAACACCUAUGGGUAACGAUUAUGACAGCCGUCCCUUUCUUCUUGUGAAUGUUACAGCAGGAAAACACAUUUCGAGAUACCCGGCAUACACAUGAACAUGCGGAGAAGCGGUGAUUAUUAAUUGGAUAGGUCUGUGCGUUAUCUGAGAGAAGUCUGAUACUUCCCCUACCAUCAAGGUGCGCUUUCAUAGAAAGACAGAGCGCGGCGAUCCUUUCAGGAUGUUGGCAUGGAUAUUGACAUGUCUGACCGUCUGUUCACCUGGACCCUCUGCUUCCAGCAUUCAUUUUGCGUUCUUAUUAGAUGUCUUUAGCUUAUUUUGAUGGCCAAAUGUGAUACCAGCAUACCGAAAAGGGAAAGGCGUUUCGUAUGGAACAACGCUUCUGCAUAAAUAAUCAAAACAACAAUCCAGCUGUCUCCCUGUCAUCCGCUUUCUACUCCCUGAUAAAGGCAUUGUCAGCUUACGUGAAAAAAGGGACAGCAAAGGAAACGCCAUCAUUUCAACAUCUUCGAAAAGCGAGAUAAACAGUGGGAAGAUGAUAAGAUAGCUUCUGACGUACCAAGGUGGCACCAAUUGGACCAGCUCAUCAAGCACUCUUAGUGAUCAUCGCUUCUGCUUCACGAAGUCACAGCUGGCCCGGCCAGUCGCGUAUCUUUUUCUCCCACACUUUUUUUUUUGCCUCUCAACUGAACGGCAUCGCUAGUCGAUGUAUACUGAUACAUACGCCUAAAUAUCGUGAAACAACAACCAUUUCCUCGUGCUUUUCAGCGUAUUGACUUUUAUUUUUCGUCGUCGUCGUCGUCGUCGCUUUGGCUUGCGUCUGGCACUCUGUUAUCUUGACUGUUGCCAGCGUCAUAGUAGCCAAGGCAUAGGCAAGAAAGCAUUGAUCGUAUUCAUUGGCCUGUUCACCUCAAUCACUGUAGAUGCGUAGAGGUGCAGAAGUAAACUAGCGUAGCGUCUGGCAGCCGGGAACUGUCGACGCAGAUAAGUAAAGAAAAAGACGUCAUUAACAUAUUUUUGAUAAUUUCACGCUGUUAUGAAUAUAUUAUAAAGAGCUAUUCUGUAUAUGACAUUGCGACAUUCUGUAUAUGGCCAGCGGUCGUGUUCAUGGCAAUACCUUAGGUACGAAUGCGAGCAGUUAGAGGGUUUUCCGAAUUGUGCUAUUUCCUGAGCGAAAAUGUAAUGGUUUAAAGCUUCUAGUCGAGCGAGUAAAGUAUCUAACAUACAAUAUAAAUAUCGAAUUGUGUUUAUUAUAAGAUUACAGGCGCUUCGAAUAAAUGCCGGUGCAAAACUUCUCUAGAAAAAAAAAAACGCAACGCAAUAAAUUACUACGCUGGAGGCAAGUAAUGUUUAUACGCGAGUCUACUUCAUUAAUUUUCGUUUGUGCCCUGAUGACGUAAUCGACAAGUCGAUAAUCUACAGUUGUCCGUUUUGUCUAAGAGAAUCGACUCCGCUUACAUCCUUAGAGUCGAUCUCGUAACAAUAGGAAAGAGCCAGGGCAUGAUAUGCCUUAAUUAGUAACAAUCUCGUCAAUUAACACCACACCUCUUCGUCUCGGGUAAGAUUUAUCCAGGGAAAUAGAUGACCCCACAUACAAACGCCAGUUUGCCUGAUGUUCAGGAAAAAGCUUGCCACAUCAUCGCCUUUCAAAUAAAUACGAGGACGAGCGAAAAGGAACAGUAGAUCAAUAUGUUCGGAUGAGCAACGCACUGAGUGCUGAUGGAUCGAUAAGAUAUAAUGUCGUAGUGAAAGCGAGGCAAGAAAGAAGUUCGGUUUAUAAGGGUUGGAGUCACUCAGCGCCGGCAGUUUUAACGAAGGUUCAGGAAAGAGUGCUCGUAGGUAACGCGUAUGAAAGAACUGUCCAUUAAAGGAUAUCUCUUGAGUAGAUUUGGACCACUUCCAUGGAAGUUACGCUAAACAAUACUGGAAGACACCAGUAUCUAUAUGGAAAGCAACUUGACCUGUUCAAAAAGCCCGCUCGUUGUAUGAUUCAGAUAACAAUAUCCAGUUGCUAAGGAAAAUAUCUGGUCUCUGCGUGUUCAAGUCUGUCAUAACCUAACCACUCAGAACUUCUUUGCUUCGGCCCUAUAUGGCUAGAUUAGUAGCUGCAAAUGGUAUCCGGCUGUGGUAGCAUUUCAUGAAUGAACGCGUGAAUAAAACGGCGACUAAUUGCUAGCUUUGGC